rnacentral:rRNA from 1 species
CAGUCGCCGCGGGAAUACGGAGGAUCCAAGCGUUAUCCGGAAUCAUUGGGUUUAAAGGGUCCGUAGGCGGUUUAGUAAGUCAGUGGUGAAAGCCCAUCGCUCAACGGUGGAACGGCCAUUGAUACUGCUGAACUUGAAUUAUUAGGAAGUAACUAGAAUAUGUAGUGUAGCGGUGAAAUGCUUAGAGAUUACAUGGAAUACCAAUUGCGAAGGCAGGUUACUACUAAUUGAUUGACGCUGAUGGACGAAAGCGUGGGGAGCGAACAGGAUUAGAUACCCCGGUAGUCCCUGUCUCUUAUAA